rnacentral:lncRNA from 1 species
GAGCCGAGAUUGCGCCACUGAACUCCAGCCUGGGCGACAGACCGAGUCUAAAAAAAAAAAAAAAUUCUUUCUUGUGUUGCUUUUAUGUGUGUGUGUUUGUUUAUUGACCUAUGUGAAAGGAAAAGGUGUAUUCACAUUUUUACUAUUCACAAUUUCUUGACCCAUAAGUUUAUUUUAUGCCAAUUUAGACCUUCAUGAUCACCAAUUUCAUCCUGGUGAUCAACAUUAAUUAACUUUCACUUGCAAGUAGCCAUGUCCAGGUCUCCAGUGGGAAAGGACAGAGUCUGAGAAUUCUCUGAGAGUCUGAGAAUAUGGGUUCAGGCCCCAUAUCUCCCUUUUUCUGGACAUGGUCGACUGUUCGGCAAAUCACUGAUGCUCUUUGAACCGCAGUCUCCUUAUCCUUUAAGUGAGUGAAUUGGGCUGGAUUUUUGCAAUGCUCCCCUCCACCUCUACCUUUUUAUCAGUUCAUCUUCCAUUUCUGUAACUGCAUCCCCUUUCCUUUAAGUGUUUCACUCCCUUGUGUCUGUCUUUCGAAGAGCUUCUCAUUCCCUUGUCUUAAAUUUCACUUCUAUGCUAACUCCUACACACACACAUCUUGAUGUAUAGACACAUGUACAUAGAUAAGAAUAGAUAUGGAUCCUGUAUUGCUAUUUAACCACCAGAAACUUGCACUUAUCUGUCCUACUAUCUUUCAUCAAACCCCUUAUCCAAAUUUUGUAGAACUUGCUAUUUCCUCCCAAUACAGAUAUUCUCCAUUCUGGACUUAAGGUCUCUUCUCUAUGGCCUCCCCAUUAUCCCAGAACCUGCACUAAUACUUAAUAUCCUUCUUUAUCAAUUGCCAAGUCCUAUUGUUGUCUUCUGUCUUCGGAAUCUGACAUCUCCUUUCUGCUCCCACUCCCAGGACCCAGUGGCUUCGUUUCUCAGUAACCACCCACUUGAUAUCUGGCUCAAACCAGGAGAAAGUUCCCCAACAGGGAGUGGGGACUGCUCACUUGCCUGUCUCACUGUCUGUCAUCGAAACCCACAAAUGAGACAAAGAGAUAAUGUGGUUUAGGACUCAGCUUUCAGUUCAGAGGAAUGGAUGGCUGCAGCCCCAGGAAGAAAUUGAAAAGCCAGGGAGCCAGAUGCAUCCCAUGGGACCCUGCCCAGAGCUCGGCCACCGAUUGCCCGGGACACCCACCCCAGUGUCCGUCAGACCCUGCCCUGAGCCCAGCCGCCAACUGCCUGGACACCCACCCCAGUGUCCGUCAGACCCUGCCCAUAGCCUGGCCACCCACUGCCUGGGACACCAGCCCCAGAGUACAUGAGACCCUGCCCGGAGCCUGGCCACCCACUGCUCAGGACACUAACCCCAGUGUCUGUCAGACCCUGCCCGGGGCCCGGCCACCCACUCCCUGGGACACCUGGCCCAGUGUCCGUCAGGAGUUUUGGCUCCAUCUUUGCUAAACGCUUUUUGUGAUUGAUUUCAUUUAGCCCUGACACCGUUUCUGUGAGGAAGAGACUGUUGCUGCUUCUGUUUGAGAAAUGACAAAGCUGAGUAGCUAAGAAGUUAAACAGGCCCGUGCCAGGCCAGUGGCAGGGCGGGGGUUAGAGCCAAGGUCUGCAGGAUUCCAGAUCUGGGCUCUGAACUCCCUGCACUAAUCUGCCUUACCUUUUAGACCAGCUCCUUUUGGUUUAUUUUUUAACUUCUGUAUUCUUUUUUUAAAUGACAAUUGUGAGACAAGAUAGCAAACAUAAAAAGCCAUGUUUGCUCAUUUCUGCUUGAACCCCUCACUGUGAUGAAAUGCAGUCCUCUGGAACAAUGCCUUGAGGACAAGGCAGGACAGAGCCCGCGGCCACCCACAUCCUCCCUGAGUCACUACAUCCUUGAAAAGAUAAAUAACCUGAACCUUUGCCUUUGCCUGCACAUAAGAUAACGUCUGAAAGGGUAGUCAUCUAGAACCAGAUGUACUCUCACAUCCAAACUUUGACGUGAUUUUGCACAUACUCAACCGCCGCCACUUGCAUAUAAGCUGUGGCUGAAACUGGUUUGGAGCAAUCUGACCCAUCUGCUCUGGGCCCUAGGUCUCAGCCUAUUGUCCUCAUUAAGACUUCUGAAUAAAACUAACUUUAAUUCUUUAAAAGCUUAAUUUUUGUCUUUAGUCGACAACAACAAUGGCUAAGAAAAAGCAAGUCUAAAGUGGUGUCCUCAGUGGAGGGAGAGUCAGUCUGCCCGUUCUUCAUUUUUUUUUUUCUUUUUUUCGAGA